rnacentral:rRNA from 1 species
AGCAGCGGUAAUACGAGUGCCUCAAGCGUUAUCCGGAAUCAUUGGGCGUAAAGGGUGUGUAGGUGGUCAUAUUAGUCUUCUGUUAAAUUCUUCGGCUUAACCGGGGGCAUGCAGGGGAAACGGUAUGACUUGAGGAUGCGAGGGGUCUGUGGAACUCUAGGUGUAGCGGUGAAAUGCGUUGAUAUCUAGGGGAACACCAAAAGCGAAGGCAGCAGACUGGAGCACUCCUGACACUGAAACACGAAAGCGUGGGUAGCGAAUGGGAUUAGAUACCCCAGUAGUCCACGCCCUAAACGAUGUUCAUUAGCUAUUCGGAGUAUCGACCCUCUGAGUGGCGUAGCUAACGCGUUAAAUGAACCGCCUGGGUAGUACGACCGCAAGGUUAAAACUCAAAGGAAUAGACGGGGACUUGCACAAGCGGAGGAUCAUGUGGUUUAAUUCGAUGGUAAACGAAGAACCUUACCAGGGUUAGAAAUCUAGUUGAAGACGAGCAGAAACGUUCGUCGCCGCAAGGCAAUUAGACAGGUGCUGCAUGGUCGUCGUCAGUUCGUGAUUUGAAUUGUUCCCUUCAGUGGGGUAACGAACGCAACCCUCGUUGCCUGUUAUAAGUGUCAGGCGAGACUGCCCACGACAGAGAGCAUGAGUCAUAUAUUUAAAUGUAUAUGCUUCGUGACCUGUGUCGUGGGAGGAAGGUGAGGAUGACGCCAGAUCAGCAUGGCCCUUUGAUACCCUGGGCUACACACGUGAUACAAUGGCAUCUACAACGGGAUGCGACGGGGAAACCCUGAGCAAAUCCUUAGAAAGGGUGCCUAAGUUCGGAUAGAGGUCUGCAACUCGACCUCUUGAAGUUGGAUUCGCUAGUAAUCUCGGGUCAGCCAUACCGAGGUGAAUACGUUCUCAAGUCUUGUACUCACCGCCCGUCAACUCAAGGGAGUUGGGAGUACCCGAAGUCCGCGCUUGUCGCGGCCUAAGGUAAGCUCAAUGACAGGGAGUAAGUCGUAACAAGGCACGGGUAGCGGAAGCUGCUCGUG